GGGAGUGAAAUAGAACCUGAAACCCUGCACUUACAAGCUGUGGAAGCACAUUUCUUGUGUGACCGCGUACUUUUUGUAGAACGGGCCAACGAGUUACGUUAAGUAGCAAGGUUAAGCACUUAAGGUGCGGAGCCGUAGCGAAAGCGAGUUUUAACUGAGCGUUCAGUUACUGGACGUAGACCCGAAACCGGGCGACCUACCCAUGAGCAGGAUGAAGCGAAAGUAAAAUUUCGUGGAGGUCCGAACCCACGAGCGUUGAAAAGCUCGGGGAUGACUUGUGGGUAGCGGUGAAAUUCCAAUCGAGCCCGGAGAUAGCUGGUUCUCCCCGAAAUAGCUUUAGGGCUAGCCUCAAGGUGAGAGAUACGGA
rnacentral:rRNA from 1 species